rnacentral:SRP_RNA from 1 species
GCAGGGCACAGUGGUGUGUGCCUGUAGCCCUAGCUACUCGGGAGGCUGAGGCAGGAGGAUCGCUCGAGCCCAGGAGUUCGAGGCUGCAGUGAGCUAUGAUUGUGCCACUGCACUCCAGCCUGGGCAACAGAGUGAAUCUCUAUCUCGA